AUACGAAGGGUGCAAGCGUUACUCGGAAUUACUGGGCGUAAAGCGUGCGCAGGCGGUUCGUUAAGUCUGCUGUGAAAGCCCUGGGCUCAACCUGGGAAUGGCAGUGGAUACUGGCGAGCUAGAGUACGGUAGAGGAAGGUGGAAUUCCCGGUGUAGCGGUGAAAUGCGUAGAGAUCGGGAGGAACACCAGUGGCGAAGGCGACCUUCUGGACCAGUACUGACGCUCAUGCACGAAAGCGUGGGGAGC
rnacentral:rRNA from 1 species